AUGGCUGCCGAGUCGCCAUCAUCGUCGUCGUGGUCGUCGUCGUCGGGCGUGGCCAGAGCGCUGGCUCACCACCACCAGGCCGUGCUCGGGUUCCUGCUCGGUCUCUUCGUCAGCCUCGUGCUCUACACCACGGUGUCCGGCCAGUUCCGAUCCACGAGUACCAUUGUCGUUCUGCAGUCCACGCCGGCCGAGCGUACCGGGCAAAUUGACAUGACUUCUCCUCCUCCGGUAUCAUCAGUGUCAUCGACUCUUAAUAAUUCUACUCAAGAAUAUGGGCAGACUGACGAGGCAAUCAAGACAACGGGGAAAGAAGAUCUCGAAGACGAGAACGUUGUACAUGCAACCGACAUGAAUAACAAGACUGGUAACGCGCAAACAGAUAAAACAGACCAUUUAGGCCAACCAACAAAUGAUGCUAGUGACAAGGGAUAUCUCACUCGGCAAAACGGCGGCGAUGGGAAUAAUGAAAGCAACGUCAAACAUGGUGCUCCGGGGAAGCCCAUCUGCGACCUGUCCGACCCCAGAUAUGACAUCUGCGAGAUCUCCGGCGACGUCCGUGCCAUCGGUGUCAACCGUACCGUACUAUAUGUCCCGCCUGCCGAAGAGCGCGACAAUGACAGCCAAGAAUGGGCCAUCAAGGACCAGUCCCGCAAGGGACUGGUGGACAUCAUCGAGGUGAAUGUCAAGACCCUGAGCGCCGCUCAGUCCCUCGUGGCGCCAGAGUGCACCUCCUGGCACGCUGUCCCGGCCGUCGUGUUUGCCAUGAAUGGGCUUACAUCCAACCCAUGGCAUGACUUCAGCGACGUCCUUAUCCCGCUCUUCAUCACGACCCGUGCCUACGACGGCGAGGUCCAGUUCCUCGUCACCGAGAUCCAGCCGUGGUUCGUGGACAAGUACCGCCUCAUCCUGACCAACCUGUCACGCUAUGACAUCGUCGACUUCAACAAGGACGCUGGCGUCCGGUGCUACCCGCACAUCACAGUCGGUCUCCGCAGCCACCGCGAUCUUGGCAUCGACCGGGCCCGCACACCGCGCAACUACACAAUGCUGGACUUCCGCCUGUACAUCCGAGACAUCUUCUCGCUCCCACCGGACAGCCAAGGAACCCCGUACAAGGAAGCCAAUAAGAAGAACGACAUCAUCGACGAUGACACGGAGAAACAGAAGCCACGGCUCAUGCUCAUCAACCGUGUCGGGAACAGGAAGUUCGUCAACGUUCCGGAGAUCUCCGCGGCGGUGCAGGCGGCCGGGUUCGAGGUGCUGGUCGAGGAACCGAGCCGUGACCUGAGGCUGGAGGAGUUCUCCCGGGUGGUGGACUCGUGCGACGUGCUGAUGGGCGCGCACGGGGCCGCGCUCACAAGCUUCUUCUUCCUCCGCACCGGCGCGGCCAUGCUGCAGGUGGUGCCAUGGGGCGUGGACACGGCCAUGCGGUACUUCGGCGUGCAGGCCAAGGAGAUGAUGCUGCAAGACGUCGAGUACAACAUCGCCGCCGAGGAGAGCACGCUCUAUGAGAAGUACGGCAAGGACCACCCGAUGAUCAGUGACCCAGAGUCGAUACAUAAGCAGGGGUGGGAGUUGACAAGGCAGUAUUUCUGGCUGGAGCAGGACAUCAGAAUCAACGUCACCAGAUUCGCACCCACCCUACACCAGCUGAUUCAAACGCUCGGGAAUAGAGGACUGACCCACGGGUAA
rnacentral:rRNA from 1 species